GACGAACGCUGGCGGCGUGCUUAACACAUGCAAGUCGAACGGGAUUUAGUAGACAGAAACCUCGGUGGAAGAUUACUAAUGAGAGUGGCGAACGGGUGAGUAACGCGUGAGCAACCUGCCUAUGACAGUGGGAUAGCCUCGGGAAACCGGGAUUAAUACCGCAUAAAAUCGUAGAAACACAUGUUUUAACGGUCAAAGAUUUAUCGGUCAUAGAUGGGCUCGCAUCUGAUUAGCUAGUUGGUGAGAUAACAGCCCACCAAGGCGACGAUCAGUAGCCGGUCUGAGAGGAUGAACGGCCGCAUUGGAACUGAGACACGGUCCAAACUCCUACGGGAGGCAGCAGUGGGGAAUAUUGCACAAUGGGGGAAACCCUGAUGCAGCGACGCCGCGUGAACGAAGAAGGUAUUCGUAUCGUAAAGUUCUGUCCUAUGGGAAGAUAAUGACAGUACCAUAGAAGAAAGCUCCGGCUAAAUACGUGCCAGCAGCCGCGGUAAAAC
rnacentral:rRNA from 1 species